AAUACGUUCCCGGACCUUGCACACACCGCCCGUCAAGCCAUGGGAGCCGGGUGUACCUAAAGUCGGUAACCGCAAGGAGCUGCCUAGGGUAAAAAUCGGUGACUGGGGCU
rnacentral:rRNA from 1 species